rnacentral:rRNA from 1 species
AGCGGCGGAUGGGUGAGUAACACGUGGGCAAUCUGCCCUAAAGACUGGGAUACCACUUGGAAACAGGUGCUAAUACCGGAUAACAACAUGAAUCGCAUGAUUCAAGUUUGAAAGGCGGCGCAAGCUGUCACUUUAGGAUGAGCCCGCGGCGCAUUAGCUAGUUGGUGGGGUAAAGGCCUACCAAGGCAAUGAUGCGUAGCCGAGUUGAGAGACUGAUCGGCCACAUUGGGACUGAGACACGGCCCAAACUCCUACGGGAGGCAGCAGUAGGGAAUCUUCCACAAUGGACGCAAGUCUGAUGGAGCAACGCCGCGUGAGUGAAGAAGGUUUUCGGAUCGUAAAGCUCUGUUGUUGGUGAAGAAGGAUAGAGGCAGUAACUGGUCUUUAUUUGACGGUAAUCAACCAGAAAGUCACGGCUAACUACGUGCCAGCAGCCGCGGUAAUACGUAGGUGGCAAGCGUUGUCCGGAUUUAUUGGGCGUAAAGCGAGCGCAGGCGGA